rnacentral:rRNA from 1 species
GAGGAAUAAGCAUCGGCUAACUCCGUGCCAGCAGCCGCGGUAAUACGGGGGAUGCAAGCGUUAUCCGGAAUCAUUGGGCGUAAAGCGCCUGUAGGUUGUUUAUUAAGUCUGUUGUUAAAGACUAGGGCUUAACCCUAGAAAAGCAAUGGAAACUAAUAGACUCGAGUAUGGCAGGGGUAGAGGGAAUUUCUAGUGUAGCGGUGAAAUGCGUAGAUAUUAGAAAGAACACCGGUGGCGAAAGCGCUCUACUGGACCAUUACUGACACUCAGAGGCGAAAGCUAGGGUAGCAAAAGGGAUUAGAUACCCCUGUAGUCCUAGCCGUAAACGAUGGAUACUAGAUGCUGUGCAUUAAGUACAGUAUCGUAGCUAACGCGUUAAGUAUCCCGCCUGGGGAGUACGCUCGCAAGGGUGAAACUCAAAGGAAUUGACGGGGGCCCGCACAAGCGGUGGAGCAUGUGGUUUAAUUCGAUGCAACGCGAAGAACCUUACCAGGGCUUGACAUACUACGAAUUCUUUUGAAAAAGAGAAGUGCCUUCGGGAAUGUAGAUACAGGUGGUGCAUGGCUGUCGUCAGCUCGUGUCGUGAGAUGUUGGGUUAAGUCCCGCAACGAGCGCAACCCUUAUUUUUAGUUACCAAUUCGUUGGGUUCUCUAGAAAGACUGCCGGUGACAAACCGGAGGAAGGUGAGGAUGACGUCAAGUCAGCAUGCCCCUUAUGUCCUGGGCUACACACGUGCUACAAUGGUUAAGACAAAGAGUCGCGAGCUUGUGAAAGUCAGCUAAUCUCAUAAACUUAGCCUAAGUUCAGAUUGUAGGCUGCAACUCGCCUGCAUGAAG